rnacentral:lncRNA from 1 species
UGCCUGGCCCCAUAGCCCAGAAGGAAAUGGACGCCGAAAAGCCAGUGACUCCCACCGAGGAGCAGCUGGAGAUCCUGGAGUACAACUUCUGCAAGGUGAACAAGCAUCCCGACCCCACCACGCUGUGCCUCAUUGCAGCUGAAACUGGUCUUUCCGAGGAGCAGACCCUGAAAUGGUUCAAGCAGCGCCUGGCACAGUGGAGGAAGUCUGAAGGGCUGCCCUCAGAAAGCGGCUCUGUCAGGGACUAGAGGAUGCUGCUCCGGUCUCCGUGCCUGCUGUAAAUGAUGGCAACGAUGUUCAGAGCAACACAAACCUUCUGCGACACGACGAGGAAAAGGGGAAUGUACUUCUCUGCUUCACAGCUUGCCACGCAACCCCAGCAUGUAGGAGAUGGACAAACAAACAGCUGGUACCAGCAGUCCCACUGGUUACCAAAAGGUACCAUGGAGGCAGCACGCUUCCAACUGUCCGCUGACAGACAAUGGUCAGUGCUUUGGGGACACCCCUGUGGUUUCUCCGAUGGUACCAAAGCCUCUAGUGGGACACAGCAGCAGCAAAUACUUACCAAAGAGCACCACGAGGACCUGGUGCUGACAGGCUGCUGCCAGGGCAUCCUCACUCCACACUCCCUCCCUCGCAAGGUGCCUGCUGAUUUAUCUCCGUCACACCUAACCAAGCUCCCCGGGAUCUCGGUGGGAAUGCCCGGGGGAUGUUGGCCCCCUGCCUCCAGCUCAAGAUGGGACAUGCUCAGGACGGCAGCACUCGUCUCAGGAGCUCCAAACCAGUUUCAGCAGCUUCAGCCAAGCGGCUCUCCAAAGGCUCAUUGUUUUUCCCCCCCGCAGACAGCACAGAUCCACCACACAGUCGCAUCCAAACUCAGCACCAAUAGACAUAUCCCCACGCAUGCAUCUUCAGCAGUUCUGCAACCUGAGGGAAUUGAGCAACCUCUCUGA